CUGCCUCUCAGGGUGCUAGGAUUACACUGCACCUGGCCUCUAGCAGUGUUUUUAUUUUUGAGAGGGCUGGAUGGAAAGAGGAAUUAGUUUCUAUCUCAUUAGGACUCUGUUUCUGCUAGAGUGUGUCACUUUAUCUGGGAGAGGGUAACAGCUGCACCUCCCCAGUGAGCCUUAGGAGAAGCCAAACAUUCUACCGUGGGGCCUGUUUAACCACUGUGGAAUCAACUUGGUAGAGUUUGGAUGCCAUCUUCCCAUGCUGCCAAGAUGUCUGUGGCUGUUUCAGACGCUGUGUUUUGUUUUAUAUCACACAUAGAGUCUGGGUGGAAAAAAACAGAUCUGAAACUCUUCUUUGAGUGUGAGUUUUUUUGUUUUGUUUUGUUUAGUUUUUCUAUAGGUCACCAUCAAAUAGGAUCUCCAUUUCUGGCUAAAAAUAAUUUCAAGAAGGACAUUGAAAGCAAGCCUCCUGAAGAAUAUCAUUUAAUCAUUUUUAAUUAGUCACAAGACACAUUUCCAGGCAAUAUGGUGACAGUGCUGAAGAUGCAAAAACGAUGAGAUAAUACUUAUAGUCCAUCAAGAAUAAGGAGGUCAUCAUUUGCAAUAGCCACAAAUUGGGAACAAUUCCACUUCCCAUCAGCUGGUGAAUGAAUAAACACAAUGUGGCAUAUC